rnacentral:rRNA from 10 species
GCAACGGAUAUCUCGGCUCACGCAUCGAUGAAGAACGUAGCAAAAUGCGAUACUUGGUGUGAAUUGCAGAAUCCCGUGAACCAUCGAGUUUUUGAACGCAAGUUGCGCCCAAAGCCAUCCGGUUGAGGGCACGCCUGCCUGGGCGUCACGCAUCGCGUCGCU